ensembl:lncRNA
CAGCGCAGCUCGGUGCAACACCGCUGCAUGGGGUCUUGAGGAGACAGUUCGACUACAGAGAGGGAUGGCGAGAGAAAAAACACGCCAUUCAGACCAGCAUCCUCCCACACAACCUCAUACACAGACACGUCUCUUGUCUUUCCAGUGGCCGGGGGUUGGAAAAUGUGCUGUUAUUGGGGCCUGCCUGGAUGCCGUAGUAAUGGGAUGAGGCUAUCGAUUCAUCCCAUGUCGGGCCUGACUCUUUUUUUCAGCCUGGGAACGACAGCUGAUGUCACUGUGACAUUGAAAUGUCGGAGGCAUUAUCUCUAAUAACAAGAGGGGAGAUGCGAACUGACAAGGCACAGCAGAACAGAACCUCUGAGGGGUCCCUGGGAGCCAUUCCAAAUUGACUGCAUAGUGUAGGGCCACGUCAACCUGCAAAGGGCUGGUAUACUAUAGGUACUGUUUGACCCACACCACAGCACGUGUUCUAGCCAACCCAAUCAUCCCCCUCUGGGGAGUGCCAAAUCACUGUGAGUCAGACUGUGAGGACCACUUCACCGG